rnacentral:tRNA from 1 species
ACCUUAAUAGCAAAAUGGUAAUGCAGGGGACUUAAGAUCCCCCAUUAAAGGUUCAACUCUUUUUUAAGGUC